GCUUACGGCCAUACCAGCCCAAGACGCCCGGUCUCGUCUGAUCUCGGAAGCUAAGAAGGCUUGGGCCUGGUUAGUACUUGGAUGGGAGACCUCCUGGGAAUACCAGGUGCUGUAAGCU
ensembl:rRNA 5S_rRNA 5S ribosomal RNA